UACGGGGGGGGCGAGCGUUGUUCGGAAUUAUUGGGCGUAAAGGGAGCGUAGGCGGUGCGGUAAGUUUGGUGUGAAACCUCCAGGCUCAACUUGGAGCUGGCAUCAAAUACUGCCGUGCUAGAGUCCGGAAGAGGAGUGUGGAAUUCCUGGUGUAGCGGUGAAAUGCGCAGAUAUCAGGAAGAACACCUAUGGCGAAGGCAGCACUCUGGGACGGUACUGACGCUGAGACGCGAAAGCGUGGGGAGCGAACAGG
rnacentral:rRNA from 1 species